rnacentral:rRNA from 1 species
GAUGAACGCUAGCUACAGGCUUAACACAGUGCAAGUCGAGGGGCAGCAGGACGAUAGCUUGCUAUUGUUGCUGGCGACCGGCGCACGGGUGAGUAACGCGUAUCCAACCUUCCCCUUAGUAGGGCAUAGCCCGGUGAAAAUCGGAUUAAUACCCUAUGUUCUUCGUAGAGGACAUCUGAAAUGAAGCAAAGGUUCACCGCUAAGGGAUGGGGAUGCGUCCGAUUAGCUUGACGGCGGGGUAACGGCCCACCGUGGCUACGAUCGGUAGGGGUUCUGAGAGGAAGGUCCCCCACACUGGAACUGAGACACGGACCAAACUCC